AUGUCUUGGUCCAACCUGACUCCUUUCCAGAAGAAAAAAAUUGCUACACCUGUCAGUUCACUUAUUAUAUGGCGAAAGAGGAAGAUCAGCCUGCUCCAGCUAAAAGGUCGAGGGCUGCUGGGAAUACACCAUCUUCUUCUGUAUCAGGUACACCACCACCACCAUUUUCUAGUUAAUGAUGACAAGGAGGAGUGGCACAGAGGCUUCCAGCUGUUUUCCUGCAUGUUUGCAUGUGCCUUCAAGUUGCCUGUCGACUUAUUUCAAUCCCGUGACUUGAUGGCAAGCCACUUCUGAACAAAUCUUGCCAGAAUAUACUGUGAUAGGUGCACUUUAAGGUCAUCAUUGGUUGAAAAUGACCUGAAGGCACACAUAGCAACAAUGAUAAAGCCUGAAUAUACUGUAUUGACUCAGUAUUAGCAUCCAGAUGAAGAAAUGUAACUGUUAUGCAUUGUGAUCACACUCUGUGAUGAUUUCAUGUCCACAUCUCAGAAGAAAACAGAUGAUAAAAUUGGAACAAUCCCAUAAUCACAGCAGUACCUAACCAGUACCACAACAUGUUUUACUAAACACAGUUCUUCCUUCAUUAGUUUGCAGUGUACUGUCAUGCUGUUUGAAAGAAUGUGAGUUAAACAAAAGUUUAUAUUUUAAAAAAUCAAGAAUAUGUAAUAGCAUCUAUUUGAUCUCUAAAUAGACCUCAUUCUAUUUGUUUAAGGAUGUAACUUGUUCAUUGUUUCAGCAUUUGGGUUGAGAGUUAAAUUAAGCAUAAGAGCGUUCUUGUACAUUAAUUUAUAUUGGAACAGACAAGUGUAGCCUUCCAAAUAUGAUUGGAUUGAAGCUCUCAGCAGCCUUGGGAUUCUAAGCAUAUGAUCAUGAACAGUCAUGCUUUCUUGCUUCUAAGUGUGUUACUCUAAGCACUAAAGUGGGGGUAAUAGACAAGACUUUUGCCUUCAACCUCAAUGCACUGCUAAUCCAAAUGUUGCCAUAUCCAUAUACACAUCAAUUACUGCACCAAAGUACAUUUUUAAAGAAAAACAAAAAAUGUGAAUGCACACUUUGUUUUAAAGUAGAAUCACAGUUGGUGGAUAGUUACACAUUUUUUAUCAUUCCAGAAGCGACUUGAGAACAUACUGCAAGUUGCUUCUGGUGUGAGUGAAUUGGACAUCUGCAGAGAC
rnacentral:lncRNA from 1 species